rnacentral:rRNA from 1 species
AACGAACGCUGGCGGCAGGCCUAACACAUGCAAGUCGAGCGAAGCCUUCGGGCUUAGCGGCGGACGGGUGAGUAACGCGUGGGAACGUGCCCUUUGGUACGGAAUAGCCCCGGGAAACUGGGAGUAAUACCGUAUGUGGUCGAGAGACGAAAGAUUUAUCGCCAAAGGAUCGGCCCGCGUUGGAUUAGGUAGUUGGUGGGGUAAUGGCCUACCAAGCCGACGAUCCAUAGCUGGUUUGAGAGGAUGAUCAGCCACACUGGGCCUGAGACACAGCCCAGACUCCUACGGGAGGGAGUAGUGGGGAAUCUUAGACAAUGGGGGAAACCCUGAUCUAGCCAUGCCGCGUGAUCGAUGAAGGCCUUAGGGUUGUAAAGAUCUUUCAGUGGGGAAGAUAAUGACUGUACCCACAGAAGAAGCCCCGGCUAACUCCGUGCCAGCCGCCGCCGUAAAAC